AACGGCCGCGGGGGGCUGACCGUGCAAAGGUAGCGCAAUCACUUGUCUUUUAAAUGAAGACCUGUAUGAAUGGCAUAACGAGGGCUUAACUGUCUCCUUUUUCCUAUCAAUGAAAUUGAUCUCCCCGUGCAGAAGCGGGGAUAAAAACAUAAGACGAGAAGACCCUAUGGAGCUUAAAACGCAAGAACAGAACAUGUACUUUAUGCUAAUUAAAAAAUAAAAUCAAUUGAUAACUGUCCAAGUGUUUUUGGUUGGGGCGACCGCGGAGUAAAACAAAACCUCCAUGAGGAAUAAAGAUAUUCCUUUUAAUUCAAGGAUAACAUCCUAAAAAACCAGAAUUUCUGACCCUAAGAUCCGGUUAGACCGAUCAACGGACCGAGUUACCCUAGGGAUAACAACGCAAUCCUCUUUUAGAGCCCUUAUCGACAAGAGGGUUUACGACCUCGAUGUUGGAUCAGGACAUCCUAAU
rnacentral:rRNA from 1 species